rnacentral:rRNA from 1 species
UGAAGCUGGCACCUUCGGUGUCCGCGUUGUAAUCUCGAGACGUGUUUUCCGUGCGGCUCUAUGGACAAGUCCCUUGGAAUAGGGCAUCGUAGAGGGUGAGAAUCCCGUACUUGCCAUGGAAGAACCGUGCUUUGCGAUACACGCUCUAAGAGUCGAGUUGUUUGGGAUUGCAGCUCAAAAUGGGUGGUAGACUCCAUCUAAAGCUAAAUAUCGGGGAGAGACCGAUAGCGAACAAGUACCGUGAGGGAAAGAUGAAAAGCACUUUGGAAAGAGAGUUAAAAGUACGUGAAAUUGUCGAAAGGGAAGCACUUGAAGUCAGCCAUGCUGCUUGAGACUCAGCCUGGCCUUUGGGCUUGGUGUAUUUCUCGGUGGCAAGCCAGCAUUGGUUUGGGUCGUCGGAGAAGCGCAUAGGGAAUGUGGCGUCUCCGGACGUGUUAUAGCCUUAUGCAGGAUACGACGACCUGGAUCAAGGAACGCAGUGU